rnacentral:rRNA from 1 species
UGAACCACCUUCGGGUGGGGAUUAGUGGCGAACGGGUGAGUAACACGUGGGCAAUCUGCCCUGCACUCUGGGACAAGCCCUGGAAACGGGGUCUAAUACCGGAUACUGACCUGCCAAGGCAUCUUGGCGGGUCGAAAGCUCCGGCGGUGCAGGAUGAGCCCGCGGCCUAUCAGCUUGUUGGUGAGGUAAUGGCUCACCAAGGCGACGACGGGUAGCCGGCCUGAGAGGGCGACCGGCCACACUGGGACUGAGACACGGCCCAGACUCCUACGGGAGGCAGCAGUGGGGAAUAUUGCACAAUGGGCGAAAGCCUGAUGCAGCGACGCCGCGUGAGGGAUGACGGCCUUCGGGUUGUAAACCUCUUUCAGCAGGGAAGAAGCGAAAGUGACGGUACCUGCAGAAGAAGCGCCGGCUAACUACGUGCCAGCAGCCGCGGUAAUACGUAGGGCGCAAGCGUUGUCCGGAAUUAUUGGGCGUAAAGAGCUCGUAGGCGGCUUGUCGCGUCGGUUGUGAAAGCCCGGGGCUUAACCCCGGGUCUGCAGUCGAUACGGGCAGGCUAGAGUUCGGUAGGGGAGAUCGGAAUUCCUGGUGUAGCGGUGAAAUGCGCAGAUAUCAGGAGGAACACCGGUGGCGAAGGCGGAUCUCUGGGCCGAUACUGACGCUGAGGAGCGAAAGCGUGGGGAGCGAACAGGAUUAGAUACCCUGGUAGUCCACGCCGUA